rnacentral:snRNA from 1 species
UUGCUUUGACAGCGCAGAUACUAAAGUUGGAACCGCUCAGAGAAGAUGAUCAUGGCCCCUAUGCAAAUUUCUGAAGCAUUCCAUGUUUUA